rnacentral:rRNA from 1 species
UGGAUCCAGACUUUGAUUAUGGCUCAGGAUGAACGCUAGCUACAGGCUUAACACAUGCAAGUCGAGGGGAAACGACAUCGAAAGCUCGCUUUUUUGAUGGGCGUCGACCGGCGCGCGGGUGAGUAACGCGUAUCCAACCUGCCCACCACUUGGGGAUAACCUUGCGAAAGUAAGACUAAUACCCAAUGACGUCUCUAGAAGACAUCUGAAGGAGAUUAAAGAUUUAUCGGUGAUGGAUGGGGAUGCGUCUGAUUAGCUUGUUGGCGGGGUAACGGCCCACCAAGGCUACGAUCAGUAGGGGUUCUGAGAGGAAGGUCCCCCACAUUGGAACUGAGACACGGUCCAAACUCCUACGGGAGGCAGCAGUGAGGAAUAUUGGUCAAUGGACGAGAGUCUGAACCAGCCAAGUAGCGUGCAGGAUGACGGCCCUAUGGGUUGUAAACUGCUUUUAUAAGGGAAUAAAGUGAGUCUCGUGAGGCUUUUUGCAUGUACCUUAUGAAUAAGGACCGGCUAAUUCCGUGCCAGCAGCCGCGGUAAUACGGAAGGUCCGGGCGUUAUCCGGAUUUAUUGGGUUUAAAGGGAGCGUAGGCCGGAGAUUAAGCGUGUUGUGAAAUGUAGACGCUCAACGUCUGCACUGCAGCGCGAACUGGUUUCCUUGAGUACGCACAAAGUGGGCGGAAUUCGUGGUGUAGCGGUGAAAUGCUUAGAUAUCACGAAGAACUCCGAUUGCGAAGGCAGCUCACUGGAGCGCAACUGACGCUGAAGCUCGAAAGUGCGGGUAUCGAACAGGAUUAGAUACCCUGGUAGUCCGCACGGUAAACGAUGGAUGCCCGCUGUUGGUCUGAAUAGGUCAGCGGCC